UAUUUAUGUUCACUAAAUAUAAAUGUUAAACAUCAGGUUUACAAACUAAUACAUUCUAAUUUCGCCGUUUUUAAAUUUAAUAUAGGCCUAUAUUUUCGUGAUGUAUAAUGUAGGCUAAUAAUUCGUUCUGUCAAUGUGAGGGUGCAAAAAAAACAUUACGAGUAAGAUUAAUAAUGCAAGUGCACAUAUCAUGACUUAAUUUAAUACACUUAGUUACCAAGAUUUUCGGGAAAUUAUGAUAUGUGAAACAUAUCAUUUGACCUUAUGUUUACUUCACUGACAGGAGAAUCAGAAGCUCAGUUUUAGGAGAGGAAGAGACAGAGAAAAAUAAACAGUGAUGGAGAUGAGGAGAGAGCAGUGGUAUUUCAACAAUCACUCAUGGAGUCUGACCAGGACUGGUAUGAUCAUUUUUACCCUUUUUAUGAGGACAGAAGUAUCUCACGUUUUGGUUUUGAUGAAUCAUUCAGCCCUAGGAUAACAUAUGUUGUCAGCUCAGGAAAAGAUGUAGGACAUUGAAGAGAAGUAUGGCUUUAAUCAGUGUGGUCGAGUCAAUUUGUGUGAGUGUUUGAGACUUUUUAGAUGCCUGUCAACACAGUUUUGGAGAACGUCUUUGAGGAGCUGAUAUCUGAAACUUUCAAAUUUGCACCGCAUCGAGAUCAGUCUUAUCACAGUGUCUCCCGAGAUUGUCUUGAGAUUCUACUCUGUCUGAUGGCCCAGUAUCUGAACCUGGACAGGCGUCAUAAACUCAAUCAUUUAAAAUAAUUGUAUUUUAUACACACAUCUUUUUAUUAUAAUUUUUUUAUACAUGUUUCUAGGU